GUGGUUGCCGGGCGAAAGCUUAGUCUUGGCUCUUUUGGGACCUUGACGGACGGCAGUGGCGGUUUUCCGUCGCUUCUCUCCUUGGAGACAUUGUUUAGGCAUCCCUUGCCGAAACCACUAGAGCAAUUGUGGCGGUCGGUCACGCUUAACGGCGGCCGGUCCGGUUCUAGCCUUCUCCUGGACAAGUAUGUUGGCACUGCUGGUGUGUGGGUGGUGGUAUAUUUUUUUCCUUUUUCCUCGUUACAACCUUCCAGGAUUGUAAUCUUGUAAUUUUUUCCUG
rnacentral:lncRNA from 1 species